AGUGAACGCUGGCGGCGUGCUUAACACAUGCAAGUCGAACGAGAACGGAUUAUAGCUUGCUAUAAUUGUCAGCUAAGUGGCGCACGGGUGAGUAAUGUAUAGGUAAUAUGCCUCUUACUAAGGGAUAACAAAUGGAAACGUUUGCUAAUACCUUAUACUCCUUAUUAACAGAAGUUAAUAAGGGAAAGAUUUAUUGGUAAGAGAUUAGCCUGUAUUGUAUCAGUUAGUUGGUGGGGUAAUGGCUUACCAAGACUAUGACACAUAACUGGUUUGAGAGGAUGAUCAGUCACACUGGAACUGAGACACGGUCCAGACUCCUACGGGAGGCAGCAGUGGGGAAUAUUGCACAAUGGACGAAAGUCUGAUGCAGCAACGCCGCGUGGAGGAUGACACAUUUCGGUGGCGUAAACUCCUUUUAUAUGAGAAGAUAAUGACGGUAUUAUAUGAAUAGCUCCGGCUAACUCCGUG
rnacentral:rRNA from 1 species